GCACUGGCUUGGCUCAGCGGUUACUUCACCUCAAAUCAAAUCUGUUUGAUUACGUGGUCUCCUCCCAACCGGGAUCGAACCGCGGGCGCCGUCCAGUGUUUUC
ensembl:vault_RNA Vault Vault RNA